GAUGAGAACGUAGCGAAAUGCGAAAAGUAAUGUGAAUUGCAGAAUUCAGUGAAUCAUCGAAUCUUUGAACGCACAUUGCGCCCGCUGGUACUCCGGCGGGCACGCCUGUCCGAGCGUCAUUUCAACCCUCAAGCCCUCCUUCGGGAUGGGCCUGGUGUUGGGGCUCGGCCGCCAUCUCCGGCGGCCGUCCCCUAAAUACAGUGGCGGUCACGUCGCGACUCCUUUGCGUAGUAGAAACACCUCGCUCCGGAUAGCAACGCGGUCCACGCCGUAAAACCCCCAAUUUUCAAUGGUUGACCUCGGAUCAGGUGGGAAUACCCGCUGAACUUAAGCAUAUCAAUAAGCGGAGGA
rnacentral:misc_RNA from 1 species